rnacentral:rRNA from 1 species
GUGUGUUACAAGUGUCACACGGAACUGCCGGUCAUAAACCGGAGGAAGGUGGGGAUGACGUCAAGUCAGCAUGGCCUUUAUAUCCUGGGCUACACACACGCUACAAUGGGAAGGGACAAUAGGUUGCGAAGCCGCGAGGCGGAGCCAAUCCAGCAAAACUUCCCUCAGUUCAGAUUGCAGGCUGCAACUCGCCUGCAUGAAGUUGGAGUUGCUAGUAAACGCAGGUCAGCCAUACUGCGUUGAAUACGUUCCCGGGGGCUU